UACGAAGGGUGCAAGCGUUACUCGGAAUUACUGGGCGUAAAGCGUGCGUAGGUGGUGAGUUAAGUCUGUCGUGAAAGCCCCGGGCUCAACCUGGGAAUGGCGAUGGAUACUGGCUCGCUAGAGUGCGGUAGAGGAGAGUGGAAUUCCCGGUGUAGCAGUGAAAUGCGUAGAGAUCGGGAGGAACACCAGUGGCGAAGGCGGCUACCUGGACCAGCACUGACACUGAGGCACGAAAGCGUGGGGAGCAAACAGG
rnacentral:rRNA from 1 species